rnacentral:rRNA from 1 species
UGGCUCAGGACGAACGCUGGCGGCGUGCUUAACACAUGCAAGUCGAACGGGAGUAUUGAAGAAGCUUGCUUUAGAGAUACUUUAGUGGCGGACGGGUGAGUAACGCGUGAGGAACUGUCCUAUGCAGGGGGACAACAGCUGGAAACGGCUGCUAAUACCCCGUAAGCCGAGAGGUAAAAGGAUCAAUCCGGCAGAGGAGGUACUCGCGUCCUAUCAGCUAGUAGGUGAGGUAACGGCUCACCUAGGCGAAGACGGGUAGCCGGCCUGAGAGGGCGAACGGCCACACUGGAACUGAGAUACGGUCCAGACUCCUACGGGAGGCAGCAGUGGGGAAUAUUGGGCAAUGGGGGGAAACCCUGACCCAGCGACGCCGCGUGGGUGAAGAAAUCCUUCGGGAUGUAAAGCCCUGUUGUAUGGGAAGAGCGGAAGACGGUACCAUACGAGGAAGCCCCGGCAAACUACGUGCCAGCCGCCGC